AUGCAUGUGCUCUGUGUUGAAUUCUGAUCAGUCUUUACAGUCAUACUGCAAAUAUGUCAAGUGAUAUCUGUGUGCCUGUAUAAAUAGUUCGGAUUGUAUUGUGCAUGCUAACUUCAUGAUAUGUUCCAGUGCUCCUAAGACAUUUUUGUGUUAUGUGAAAAAAACAUGGUUCCUUUUCUUCCUUGCUUCUGUGAUUGAUUCAGUCACAGUUGCAUAUACUGCUCGCGUUCAGAGUACGACCACAGUGGAAGGAUAUAAAGUAGGUGAUCAUGAAUCAUGCUCUGUGAUUUUAUCUUCCCUAGACAGGGUCUUGAAUCCACUUGGGGGAUCUUCUUCUAGGAGGCCUUGAUCUCCAAAGGAGUAGGUAACAGGUGGAUGAGCAAAGCUCUAUCUUCAAAAGCUAUCACAAUGCCAACCCUAAAAUGGUGGAGGAGUAUAUAUAGUUUAGGGGGGCGAAGGAGUACAUGGGCCUCGGCCCAAAUCAUGCACCCAGGCACCGUCUGGAUGAUCCGGGUGUUGGUCUGGAUGGUCCGGGCUUCGUGGUCUGGAUGGUCCGGGGCAGCGUCCGGAUGAUCCGGACGUGUCGUGCUGGUUGUCCGGACGUCCGGGUCCGUCCAGAUGAUCCGGCUUCGUCCGGGGGCUUGCUGUUCUCAUGUCGCGUUGUAGCCGGAUCGUCCAGGCCGGGGUCCGGAUCAUCCAGGCCGGGGUCCGGAUCGUCCGGUCUGGGGCUGGAUCAUCCGGACGGCGGUCUGGAUCGUCCGAGCAAGUCCUGACUUGGCCUUUUUCUCCUCCGUCUUCGUGAUUGCUUCUCUCCUUCAAUUGUACUUGCUCCUUAGCUUCUCCAUGGCUGGCUCCUUGGUACCUGACUAUGCAAACUGUUUCUGCUUGAGGUAGUAGCCAUGUCUCGUGUGAUUCGAAAGGGAGUUGCGAGAGGAGUGAUGUCACCUCGGUCUCGAGAGGUCUUGCACGUGUACGUGUCAUGGGUCCACUUGGCACUUGGUGAGACGACGGUAGGUCCAUGGGGAUGACCUUGGGAUGCUCCGCAUCAAGUCGUAUCUAGGGUUCUAGCCCAUAGUUGGCAAUUGGAAGAAUUCAGAAUAAUCCCCACGCCAGCCACAACCCGGCUGUUAAGUAGGCCGAGCUUUAUAGCUAACGGUGAAUAGUAAAUGAAGGGGUACAGUAAACGGUAACAUAUCCAACGGUGGCGACUGGACGCAGUGAAAGAGCUACCUUGGGCCGUCCGAUACUCUGAAUCGGUAUUUGCCAGCUAGGCUACACCUAACUGAACUGUUAACUGAAGAUGCAGGUUCAGAAUCUGACAACGAGCUCAUCAUACCGCAGUCCGAGCCGCGCCAUGGUGUCAGCAGGCACGUGCACGAUCCCCUCCUAGGUGACGAACUCGAGCACGCCGCAGCGGGAGGUGUGCAAGGUGGCAGCGUUCUGGACCUGGAACGCCAGCAGGUACUCCACCUGCACCCAGCUAAUCCAGUCCAGCGCCAACUGCGGCAUGACGACCCGGUUGUCUUCGUCCGCGCCCUCCAUGCCCAACAGCAACAUGGGCCGGCACCUGUAGUGCUGCACAAACCGGCAGUGCAAAACCGCUGUUGCCCGAGGUACGCCUGCCACGCCUCCUCCCUCGCCUGGUCCUCCUUGUUGUUCCAGUUCGACAACAAGGAGCCGCCGCCCGCGCCCUUGCCGGUGAAGGUCACCACCACCGGCCAAGACAACGCCUCCUUUCAUUCUAAGGAAAAGGGAAAGGGUGUGUGAGAGAGAAGGGAUGGGAGGAGAAGCGGAGGAGGAGAAUUACCUGGGAGGCGAGGUGAAUCGAGCUAUGAAGCUCAGCGCCGGUGAGAUGAGAUCGCAAAGCAACAAGGGGGAGGGGACGGAGCAACAUGGGUUUGGGGUGGAAACAAGAGUCAGUGAAGGAGAGGGGACGUGGAAAGGAGGCUCGAAUCAUGGGAAGGCUCGCCGCCGGCGCCUGGUGGCGGCGGCUGUGCUGGCCGUCGGGGGAGGGUGGGAAGGGAUACGCUGGUGUCAGGAUGAAGGGGGCGAGUGAAAUCCAAGAGAAUGACGGGUGAGGGGCUGGGAUUUGGUGUUGGCAAAGCUUACGUUAGACUGUAUAAAAUAUGUAGCCUCUGUACAAGUCUUGUUGUCUGUAUUGUACACUUCCGUGUACCCCUUAUAUAUAUAUAUAUAUAUAUAUAUAUAUAUAUAUAUAUAUAUGAGAUAGCCACACCCGUUAAGGGUGUUGAGCAGAACAUGGUAUCAACCCAGAUUGGUCCUAUGUCUUCUGUUGUCGCCCCAAGCCCGAUCGCCGCCACUGUCGCCGCGCCGGUCUCUGCCACGGCCACUCCUUCGUUCCUGUCUUCUCAUCUGCUGGCCUUGGUCUACUCUGGCCUGUCAUCCGCGAUUCCUCCUGCGGGGCACCGCGUAACGCCUGCGGGGCACUACGCGGCUUCACCCGCGAUUCUGCCUGCGGCGCACUACGCGGGUCCGCUCGCGAUUCCGUCCGCGGUGCCCUACGCUGGUCCGCCCGCAAUUCCUCAUAGCGCAGCGCCCGCAGUGUCUUACGCGACGGUGCUCGUGACUCCCUCUAGCGCUGCUGACGCGGCUCCCUUCAGCGCAACGCCGCCGCCGGUCUAUGGCAGGUACCAGCCGAUUCCUCCAACCGCGUCAUAUCACGGUGCAUCUGGUGGUGCUCCGCCUCAGGGCUACAACACGCCGCCCUAUGCUGCUGCGCCGUCUUUGCCGGAUUAUGUCGCCGCUGCUGCGCCGUUCUACUUCGCGCACGUCAUCCCGGUGAAACUCACUACGGAUAACUAUUUGUCGUGGCGUGCGCAGGUGUUGCCGCUCCUUCGCAGCCGCUACCUAGAGGGUUACAUUGAUGGCACACUACCGUGUUCUCCGCCGCAUCAUCCGGCGUAUCAUGCGUGGGUGGCUCAAGAUCAAGCCAUCCUCUCUGCGAUUCAGUCCUCUCUCAUCGAUGGGGUUUCGUCGCUGGUCCUCUUCGCUGCCACCUCUUGGGAGGCGUGGUUUGCUCUGCACACAAGCUUCGUGUCUCAGCAGCAGGCGCGUGCUCAUGUCAUCGCACGGAGCUUGGGGAGACCAAGCUUCUUGACCAUCACCGACUACUUUGACAAGAUGACGCGCCUCACACACUCUGGCCUCCAUUGGCCAGCCUCUUUGUCCCGAGGAUUUCACCACCUUUGCGAUGAACGGGUUGGAUGACGACUAUGAUAACCUCGCCGAGAACAUCAAUGGUCGUGACACCCUGCUCCAGCCCCGUGAGCUCUACCCACGCCUCCUCGCCAUGGAACAACGCGUGAAGUCCCGUCGACCCAACCCGAGCUUUGCUUCUGCAAAUGCCACCACUCGCGGCAAAGGGAAGCACUACAGCCACCUGCUGGAGGCAAGGUGCUGCCUUCGACUCCACCGACCUCGCGCCCACCCGCGGCCGGCCCCAUGCCACAACCGGGGGUGGUCGUCCGUGUGCUUGCUGCCCCUCAUGCGGGAUCUAGCUCCCUUGCCAGCUCUAUGGUCUUCCGGGGCACAUCGCUUCUCGCUGUCAUCGCCGCUUCAAACAGGACUUCCUUGGCAUUAGCAACAACGGCAAAGGCAAUGAUAAGCAGGCUGCCUUGGCCACUCAUGAGCAUGGACACACUCCAUCAUAUUCUAUCGACCCGACAUGGUACAUGGAUACGGGCGCUACUCAUCACCUCACGAGUGAGACGGGCAAGCUCUCCACUCAGGAGCCAUAUCGUGGUCCAGGUUCGCACCGCCAACCGAGCAGGACCGGGACACGAGGGACGUUCUUCUUAGAGGUCGCCUGCGCCAUGGACUUUAUGCCCUUGAUGUGCCGCCUGUUCCUCAAGCUUUCAGUGGUGUGCGUGUGUCACCUACUACUUACUGGCACCCGCGGCUUGGUCACCCUGCCAUUCCCAUAGUCCAUCAUGCUUCAUCGUCAUGACCUUCCAGUUGUGUCCAAUAAAAAUACUGCAACAGUUUGUGAUGCCUGUCAGCAAGGCAAGAGUCAUCAGCUUCCGUUUUCAGAGUCGAGUGGUGUUGUCAAAACUCCACUUGAGCUUGUGUUUAUGUGUGGGGCCAUGCCCAAACUUCUGUGAGUGGUCAUAAUUAUUAUGUCAGUUUUAUUGAUGCUUACAGUCGCUUUACUUGGCUUUA